rnacentral:rRNA from 1 species
AUUGAACGCUGGCGGCAUGCUUUACACAUGCAAGUCGAACGGCAGCGCGGGCUUCGGCCUGGCGGCGAGUGGCGAACGGGUGAGUAAUGCAUCGGAACGUGCCCAGUAGUGGGGGAUAGCCCGGCGAAAGCCGGAUUAAUACCGCAUACGACCUGAGGGUGAAAGCGGGGGACCGAAAGGCCUCGCGCUAUUGGAGCGGCCGAUGUCGGAUUAGCUAGUUGGUGGGGUAAAGGCUUACCAAGGCGACGAUCCGUAGCUGGUCUGAGAGGACGACCAGCCACACUGGGACUGAGACACGGCCCAGACUCCUACGGGAGGCAGCAGUGGGGAAUUUUGGACAAUGGGGGCAACCCUGAUCCAGCCAUGCCGCGUGCGGGAAGAAGGCCUUCGGGUUGUAAACCGCUUUUGUUCGGGAAGAAAUCCUCUGGGCUAAUACCCCGGGGGGAUGACGGUACCGGAAGAAUAAGCACCGGCUAACUACGCG